CGAAAAGCCAUUGACAACUUAGGACCAGAGAGACAUCUCCAAUUUCGGUCAGAGCCCAUUAAAAUCAUGAAUUUAUAUAUAAGAUUAUUUGGCAAAAACGUGGCCGUUAAAGUAGUUUUUAACCAAACGGCACGUAAGUGGAGAGAAAGGCAGCUGUGUCUUGCACAUGGAUCUCAGAUACAGAGACGCUCUUUUAUCUCUACAAAUCUUCCCUAAUCUUCACACAGACCCACAGACACAACCAUCAUCACGUCUUUUAUCUUCUGGUCUCGAUACUGUCUUCCAGACCACAACACUUGUAUUCUUUCAUCAUCUCAACACUGGUAUUCUUUCAUCAAACGAUCAGAGUUGGCUUUGGCAGCAUUUUGGCAGGAGUAAUUGGGAGCAUAGACACGACAAACUCUAUAUAUAUAUUUUUUCUUUUGUUUUCUUUUUCUUCUCUUUUUUUUCUUUCUUUUGUUUUCUUUUUCUUUCUUUUCUCUUCCUUUUUUUUUUCCUUUUUUUUUUUUUUUUUUUUCUUUUUUUCUUCUUUUUUUCUUUCUUUUUCUUUUCUUUUUCCUUUUUUUUUUUCCAAUAUUAUUUUGAAGAUAGAGAGAGGUAGGAUCGUACCUGAAGUAUACCCGACUCCGUGCAGACAAGGAAUUGCCCAGGGGGUAGUCAGGCCAAAUUGUUCAACUGAUGAGUGGAAAGGGUCACUGAACCCAGAAGCAACUAUUCUCGGAGAUAGCUGCAUGAAAAGAGCAAACAUUAGAUUCAAAGGUAAGUCAUAGAAUGACUUUUGUCAAACCAUAGAAUGGCUUGUUAUAAACUGGUAAGAAACUGCAACAUGAAGCAAGAUUAGUUAGUAGUGAAAUUUGAACAAUUCAAGCGUAAACACACAAUCAGAAUCAGAGCUGAAGAUUAGAGGCAGAGUGAAAUAAGAGACCAUGGUUUAGAGUUCCAUUGAUAUAUCUUAGCACACAUUUGCAAGCCUUAAAUUGCAAUUGAGUGGGAGCUUGAAAAAACUGACCUGAGUUUGUUGACAAAGUAGGAAAUGUCAGGCUUUUUUAAGGAUGUUCAAAUUUUUCACUAUCUUCAGGAAAAGGUUUAGAGACUGGCAAAUGGGGUUGAGCAGGGCUUUGAAUCUUACAUAUUUGCUUUCACUAAAAUAUCCUUUGCAUACUUGGUUUGUCUCAGAUGCAGACCAGUGGGACUUCUAAUGACUUCAAAGCCUUAGAAAAAAAUCUUCAAGGAUCCUAGAUCUUUCUGAGCAAAUUCUAUGUUUAACUGUGAAAUGGUUUGCUUAAUGAGUGAAUUGUCAUUGCCAGUGGGGAGAUAAGAUAAUGAUAGUGAGCUGAUAACGCAAGGUUAUUUCUUUUCAUCUUGGACAAAUAACACACAAAGAAUGUCAAUUAGCGGAUCACGAUCGCUGAGCGAGAGAUGUUUAUUAGCAAGACGGGAUAGAGGUUGUUGCUUUGGCAAAUGGUCAUUUCUCAUGUAGAUUCUCCAUAAGAUACUAUCGUGUAACAGUUAAUUAUAUGAUUUGUAAAAGGAUUAUGUAUGCUUGAUCUUUGGCUAAAAA